rnacentral:misc_RNA from 1 species
UCGGCAUUACAGAACGCACAGUUCUCCAUCGACUUAUUGGCUGUGUACAUGUGAAUAGCAAACCCAUGGCGGAGAAACGAACUGCCGGCUCCGCAGACAGUGUACAGGCCAUCAACGAAAUCCACCGGUGAAUCAGGAACAUCCGCCGGUCUCCACCUUAGCUGAGUCGGAGUCGAUGAACAAUUUGAUGCAUUAAAUUCACUGAUCAACUUCUCGUUUUUAGGCAAACGUUGCCUAAACGGUUCAUGCGUGACCGACGGCUUAAUCCGAUACAGCCAACUGCACAAGUUAGCUUUCCGAGGCGAUGUGAAGGAAGUGCCGGAGAUCUGCUCGGCAUAGAGGCCGAAGGGGCAUAUGAGAGGACUGUUUUGGGAUUGAGGAAGAGCGCCGGGAAUCGCCUCCGAUGAGAAAUGGUUGUUGAAGCCGGACAGAUAAGGGAGGUCGGAAGGAAAAUCUUUGCCGUCCGUUUCGCCGACCGAUUGAGCAGCCAUUGAAGAAGAUGAUGAUCGUGAGAGAUUGUCGGAACUGGAAGACAGCACCGGAUAAUUCACGGCAGUGGCAGUGAUCGG